rnacentral:lncRNA from 1 species
CUUAAUUGAAAUUAUGGGAGGAGUCCUCCUAGUGGAAUUAGUGUCCUUAUAAGUAUAAACACCAGACACCUGUUCUCUCUCUACCUACUCUGUGAGGACCCAGCUAGAGAGUGUCUGUUUGCAAGCCAGGAGCAGAGCUUUCGCCAGAAACCAGCCAUGCUGGCAUCUUCAUCUUGGACUUCUAGCCUUCAGACUAUGGGAAAAUAAAUUUCUGCUGGUUAAGCUACUCAAUCUAUGGUGUUUUGUUGUGGCAGCGUGAGCUGAAAAAGACAGGGAGAAACUGGGAAAAAGGUGAUUUCACACAGUAUCCUUCACCAGAAUUUGGUUACACAUUGGGGAGCCACUACUGCUCUUUUAGAAAUGAGAAAACUGAACCCGCUAGAGGAUAUAAACCAGCAAGGUGCUUUGACAAGACGCUUGUUAAAUGGAGAAUGGAACCAGGUUAUUCACUGUGACUGUGUUGAUGAACCUACAUAUCAAAUAUAGCUUUCAAGGAGUAUUAACCUUUUGGGAGAGGCCUUACGGGGAAAACACCAAGUCCCUGGACAAGGGGAAGACACCAAAUCCCUGGACUCAGGCCUCACAUGAUUGAGUGAGAGGAACUCUGCUGUCAGACCCUACAAUGCACUCUUCAGUGGAAGAGGAUCACACAUUCCAAACAUACUCCAUCAGGUCAUAUGUUAAAUGACAGGGCUGAGACCUCUCCACAGCACAUCUGAUACUGGGAUCGAUGAAGAUCAGAUGUGCAAAUCACACUGGGCUCCGGAAAGCCCUAGACUGUGUCAUUCAAGGUGGGAGGAUUUGCUUCUCUGGUAAGCUGUGGAAAGAUCCUCUGUGGAUUAAGACCUUUCGUUUCUCUUGAAGGAUGAAUGGAUAUUAUAAGUCCCAAGGACUCAAUAAAACCUUUAUAGCCUUAGUAUAGCAGAGUGUCCGUCAGCCAAUUCUGUGAUUUUACUGUGUUUGUCUUUUGCAAAAAUCCAUGUGAAACCUCAAAUGUUCCUUUUACAAGUUCUUUUGUUACACACACAUGUUUUUGGUUAAAUUAGUGGUGGUUCAAUCUGGAAAAGAUAUCUGUAAUUAGAGUCUUAUUUUUGAAGUUUAAAAAGGGUGGGGGGAAGCACAUAUUCUAUCAACUUUUCCUCACAGAAAAACUUACUCUAUCUUCAAAAGCUGUGACCCAACACAGCAGUUUCUAGGAUCCUCCAGAAGGAAAAUUUUCACUUACUGCCAUAUUGUCAGAAAAAGAAGAGGCUUCUAAAAGUUUUAAAGAGUUUUUUUCUCUCCUCAAAACUCAAGUAUGUACUUGUUAAAUAAUAAUUCACGUAAUUUGUAGAAUGUGUUAGCUUUCAAGACCCAUUUAUGAAACCAGUAGUUUCACUUACGUAGGAUAGGUAUUAUUAUUAUCAUCAUCAUCAUUUUUUUAAAUAAAGAGAAGAGUAGAAAACGCAUGUGCCCUGCCUUCUGUUGAACUAAAAGAGAUAAGGUGAAAACUUAGCCUUGUGAUGUAGAAAACUAAUUCCUAUUUCUCUCUCUUAUGGAUCCAAGCAUCAAAAUGUAUCGUAUGACAAUGUCUCAACAGGCAGAUGGCAGAAAUAUCACAACCCUAGCAUUCCCUGAAAUAUUAGUGGACUACAGAAUCAUGCAGUCCAGGUAAAGAAUCAGGCUACAUUACAGGCUGUGCCACAUUCUUAGCAACUGAGAAGGAAGAUACUAGAGAAGGGGAACACAGGGGUGAGUUCUUUUUCUACUUUAAACAAGUCUUGACACAGCUUUUUCUCCAAUUCCCAAUAUAACCAUCCUGCCACUACUUCCCUAAUACCAUAGCUUGCCUAAGAUUGAUCAAGCAGAAAAUGGGUAUCUUACCUCUUAAGCAAAGGUAAAGAGUAUUAUUCUCUAUGUUCUCUAUGUCUCUGUUUUCUAUGUCUUUAUCUGGAGCAUGCUCUUUCAUGUCCUUUACAUUUAAUUCUUCAAUUGCAUAAUAAUACAUAAGAAAAAACUAAAUAUACCCAUAAGAUUUUAUUCUAUGAUAAUAUUUAUAAAACUCAAACAUAUUUGAAAACAUUGAAACUACUUUUUAAAAAUAUAUGCAAGGUUGGCAUCUGUUUAUCAUUUUUAUAAAAUAUUAAACCAAAUUUUUAAAGCAAGAGAAAUAUUCCUCUAUUGAACUUACAUCAUAAGUUGAGAUGAGCUAUGAGGUUAAUAACAUUUACACCAUGAUGAAAAUAAAGCUCUAUAAAAACUCUCAAAUAAAUUUCUAAUUUCAGAAAUCCCUCAAAUAACAGAAUUGCAUUUCUCAAAAGCUGAAUCCUAUUUAAGUGAUAUUUAUUAUAAAAUACUGGUUAUUAUUAUUAGUACAAGACUAUAUUGGCCCAUAAACAUAUUUUUGUGGAUAUAUUUUUUUUGUGUUUAAAGCAGGAUUUCUCAACCUCAUCACCAUCAACAUUUGGGUCAGAUAAUUUUUUGUUUCAGGGAACUAUCCUGUGCCUUGUAGAAUGUUGAGCAGCAUCCCUGAACUCUACUCUCUAAAUACCAUGGGACCCUAAACAUACACAAUUGUGAAAAUGAAAAACGUCUCCAGAUAUUACCAAAUGUCCCCUUAGGGGUAAAAUCAUCUCCCAUUGAGGAAUAACUGGCUUACAGUAUACAAGAAUGCAGUAGUUCCAAUAUUCACUAAGCCUAAUAAUCUAACAUGGAGCUACAUACUCAGUUCACCAAAUAUUAAGUAAACCUCUGGCAUAUUCAAGGCACUGUGGGGGAUUGCAAUGAUGAGUAUAGCAAUGUCUCCUGCUCAGAAGUAUAUAAUCUCAUAGGCAGGAAGAGUCAAGUACAAUAGCCCCCCUUAGCUGUGGUUUCACUUUCUGCAGUUUGUUACUCAUGGUCAACUCUGGUCCAAAAAUAUUAAAUGUAAAAUUCCAGAAAUAAACAUUUCAUAAAUUUUAAAUUGCCAUUGUUCUGAGUAACAUGAUGAAAUUUCAUGUUGUUCUGCUUCAUCCCACUUGGGAUGUGAAUCAUCCCUUUGUCCAGUAUUUUCAUACGGUAUAUACUACCUGCUCAUUAGUCACCUAGGAGCCCUCUCAAUUAUCAGAUCAAAAAAAAAAACAGCAUAUAUAGGGUUUGAUGAUAUCUGCAGUUUCAGGCAUCCACUGGAGGUAUUGGAAUGUAUCACCCAUACAUAAGGAGAAACUACUCUAUACAAACAACAAGAACAAAAACAAAGUAUGAUAAAUGAUAUAAACAUAUGCAACUUCAUGAAAUUAAGUAGCUGUUCAUGCCUAGAAAGAGAAUUGUUCACAUAAAAAUUGUUUACUAAUAGUAGGAAGGAUAUAGUUAUAAUAAGUGGUAAACAAGAAAGAGUUUUUAAAGAGUUACUUCCCAGAUACAAUGGGAAUACGGGCAUUGGAUAAAUGCCCUCAGUCCAAAUGGGAGAAAUUGGCCAAAACAAAGGGGCUACAGGCCCCAUGCAAGUCUCAAACCCAGCACGCCAAUCAUUAAAUCCUAAAACCACAAUAAUCUCCUUUGACUCUAUGUCUCAUAUCCAGGGAAUGCUGAUGCAAGAAGUGGGCUCCUAAGACUUUAGGCAGCUCUGCCCCUGUGGCUCUGAGGGGCACAGCCCCCAUGGCUGCUUUCAUGGGCUGGCAUUGAGUGCCUGCAGCCUUUCCAGGUGCAUGGUGCAAGCUGUUCAUAGAUCUACCCUUCUGGGGUCUGGAGGAUGAUGGCCCUCUUCUCACAGAUCCACUAGGCAGACCCCCAGUGGAGACUCUGUGUGGGGGCUUCAACCCCACAUUUCCCCUCUGCACUGCCCUAGUAGAGGUUCCAUCCUUGCCCCAUAAAGGCUCCAUCCUUGCCCCAGACUUCUGCCUAGACAUCCAAGUGUUUCCGUACAUCCUCUGAAAUCUAGAUGAAGGUUUCCAAACCUCAACUCUUGCCUUCUGCACACCUGCAGGCCCAACACCACAUGGAAGCUACCAAUGCUUGGGGCUUGCACCUUCUGAAGCAAUGGUCCAAGCUGUACCUUGGUCCUUUUUAGCCACUGCUGGAGCUGGAGUGGCUGGGACUCAGGGUGCCAUAUUCUGAGGCUGCACAGAGCAGGUGGGACCUGGGCCUGGCCCAGGAAACCAUUUUUUUCUCUGAGCCCUCUGGGCCUGUGAUGAGAGGGGCUGCUGUGAAGGUCUCUGAAAUGCCCUAGAGAAAAUUUCCCCCAUUGUCUUGGCUACUAACGUUUGGUACUACUUUACUUAGGCAAUUUUUUGCAGGAGGCUUGAAUUUCUCCCCAGAAAAGGGGUUUUUCUUUUCUACCACAUGGCUGGGCUGCAACUUUUCCAAACUUUUGUGCUCUCCUUCCCUUUUAAAUAUAAGUUCCAGUUUCAGACAAUCCCCUUGUGCACACAUGAGUGUACACUUUUAAAAACAGCCAGGUCACAUCUUGAAUGUUUUGUUGGUUAGAAAUUUCUUCGGCCAGAUACCCUAAAUCAUCUUUCUCAAGUUCAAAGAUCUCUAGGGCAGGGACAAAAUGCUGUCAAUCUCUUUGCUAAAGCAUAGCAACAGUGAUCUUUACUCUAGUAUCCAAUAAGUUUCUCAUCUUCAUCUGAGACCACCUCAUCUUGGACUUCAUCAUCCAUAUCACUAUCAGCAUUUUGGGCAAAAUCAUUUAACAAGUUUCUAGGAAGUUCCAAAAUUUCCCACACCUUCCUGUCUUCUUCUGAGCCCUCCAAACUGUUCCAACCUCUGCCCAUUACUCAGUUCCAAAGGCACUUCCACAUUUUCAGUUAUCUUUAUAGCAGUACCCUACUCUUGGUACCAAUUCUCUGCAUUAGUCCAUUCUCACACUGCUAUAAAACACUACCUGAGACUGGGUAAUUUAAGAAAAGAGAUUUAAUUGACUCACAGUUCUGCAUGCUUAACAGGAAGCAUGACUGGAAGGCUUCACAAAACUGACAAUUAUGGCAGAAGGUGAAGGGGAAGCAAAGACCUUCUUCACAUGGCAGCAGGAGAGAGAGAGCAGGGGGAAGCACUACAUACUUUUAAAUGAUCAGAUUUUGUAAGAACUCACUCACUAUUGUGAGUACAGCAAGGGGAAAAUCCACCCUCAUAACCCAAUUGCCUCCAACCAGGUCCCUAUUCCAAUUUGACCUGCAAUUUGGGUGGGGACACAAAUCCAAACUAUAUUACCAGCAUAACAGAUAAAAUCCAGGUUGGUGGACAAAGCUUUAGGUCUGCUGACCAAGUGGACACGUUUUCCUCCACAUAUUUCAUCCUCUACAG